ACGCUCGACACCUAAGGAGGCAGCAGUGAGGAAUAUUGGUCAAUGGGCGCUAGCCUGAACCAGCCAAGUAGCGUGAAGGAUGAAGGCUCUAUGGGUCGUAAACUUCUUUUAUAUAAGAAUAAAGUGCAGUAUGUAUACUGUUUUGUAUGUAUUAUAUGAAUAAGGAUCGGCUAACUCCGUGCUAGCAGCCGCGGUAAUCUGAGCGGGCUGGCAAGGC
rnacentral:rRNA from 1 species